ensembl:lncRNA
UCAUAUUACAAUCCAUAACAACUUUGGUUUGCAUUUGGCAAAUACUGACAUUGUGACAAGGUAUAUAUGGUAUCUGGCUUAUCAAAAGACAGCAGGCAAGAUGAGAAUUGACACCUACAAAUAGUUAUAUUUCCCUCUGCAUCAAGAAAAGUGAGACUUGAUAGCAUUUUCGAAGUUUUAUUUCAACUUCUGAGAAGAUGAGCAAAAUGGAUUAAAAAGGCUGUUGAAAUUGAAGUAAACAGAUGGUCUCUCAACCAAAAUAUGAUGUGGGAAGAUCUGAGUUCUCUUCCUGAACUACCCAUGUACUUCUGUUGUGUUCCAUCUUUUAAAGUAUUUCCUUCCUAUCACUCAUGGUAUUUAUGUUUCCCUAGAACAAAGGGUACAUUAUAGAACCAAAUUUUUAAUUUGCUUUGUCCUUCAAAAGGAAGAUCUAUACAAACAUAAAUGGUCAUUGGACUCUUUUUCUGCACAUAAGACAACAGAGGAUUGAUCAGUAAAGCAUGUCAUUUUAAUACUCCACAUUUGUCUUGUAGAGGGUUUGUUGGAUAAGAAAGUAUUUUCAGAACAGUUGUGGCUCUGCACAAGUAACAUUUUGGAGGUCACCUGGUCCUGGAAACGAGAUUUUGAAAAUAUCUGAAAUACAACAUUAAUGAAUAGAAUUGAUCUCUAGAAUGCCACUAAUUCAAAAUGCUUAAGUGGUGAAUGUGGGAGUGGGGAGGAAGAAGAUACUCUGAAUACAAAUUCAGUUCCACACUUCGUCAUCUUUUUUUACGGUUGUGCCGUAGCAUUGACUGAUCUAUUUCUUUUGAAUGAGACAGAACAGGCCAAUUUAAUUUCAUCUUUUCUGCUCCUUGCUUCCGGCACAAUUUUCUAUCAAAGCAUAUAAAGACAAAAUGGUGGGUUUUUUCCCCCUUAAUAACAUUACAUCUCUUGUGAUUAACUGCUGAUAUUUAUUUCAGUGAUAUUUGAUCAAUGUUACUGUUGAACAUGAAGAAAUAGUCAAAUCUGAGUCACACAGUAUAUGGCAAACUCUUCCAUAGCUCAGUUAACCAUAAUGAAUUUCUGUCAUUACUACUCUGUCAUUUCAGCAGCAGCCUUUUUUCUCAGUAAAUACAAAGCCAUUAAGUAGUCAGAUAUCUGCAAUUCAGUAAUCCUGAUGAAAUUAAAAAUUCCACACUUUUGUUACUGAAAUAAUUAAUAACUUAUUCAAUUUAAUAAUAGGAUGGAUGGGGGUCUUUCAUUGCAGAGCUUGAAUAAGCCUGAAAUCAAAAUGUCUUUUAUAUCCCGAAGAACAUAUCUCAUUCCUUUGAAAUAUUAAAUGUCAGUUUUCUUAUCAGAAUAAAUUUUUUGCUGG